GGAUGAAGCUCAAAUUUAAAAUCUGGCGUCUUUCAGGCGUCCGAGUUGUAAUCUAUAGAGGCGUUUUCCGCGCCGGACCGCGUCCAAGUCUCUUGGAAUAGAGUAUCAAAGAGGGUGACAAUCCCGUACUUGACGCGACAACCGGUGCUCUGUGAUACGUUCUCAAUGAGUCGAGUUGUUUGGGAAUGCAGCUCUAAAUGGGUGGUAAAUUCCAUCUAAGGCUAAAUAUUGGCGAGAGACCGAUAGCGAACAAGUACCGUGAGGGAAAGAUGAAAAGCACUUUGGAAAGAGAGUUAAACAGCACGUGAAAUUGUUAAAAGGGAAACGAUUGAAGUCAGUCGUGUGAAAGGUAUUCAGCCGUCUCUGGCGGUGUAUUUGCCUUUCACGGGUCAACAUCAGUUUGAUCCGGUAGAAAAAGGCGGGAGGAAGGUGGCACCCUCGGGUGUGUUAUAGCCUCCUGUCAUAUGUGCCGGACCAGACUGAGGAACGCAGCUUGCCGCAAGGCCGGGGUUCGCCCACGUACAAGCUUAGGAUGUUGACAUAAUGGCUUUAAACGACCCGUCUU
rnacentral:rRNA from 1 species